rnacentral:rRNA from 1 species
GUGAGGAAUUUUCCGCAAUGGGCGAAAGCCUGACGGAGCAAUGCCGCGUGAAGGAUGAAGGCCUAUGGGUUGUAAACUUCUUUUCUCAGAAAAGAAUUAUGACGGUAUCUGAGGAAUAAGCACCGGCUAACUCUGUGCCAGCAGCCGCGGUAAGACAGAGGAUGCAAGCGUUAUCCGGAAUGAUUGGGCGUAAAGCGUCUGUAGGUUGUUUAAAAAGUAUUCUGUCAAAGAUUAGGGCUUAACCCUAGAUAGGCAGAAUAAACUUUUAAGCUAGAGUUUGGUAGAGGCAGAGGGAAUUCCCGGUGGAGCGGUGAAAUGCGUAGAUAUCGGGAGGAACACCAAAGGCGAAGGCACUCUGCUGGGCCAAUACUAACACUGAGAGACGAAAGCGAGGGGAGCAAAUGGGAUUAGAUACCCCAGUAGUCC